UCGAGAUGAGUCUUCCCUGGACACUAGAUGUCCCUGAAGGGCCGUUGAAGACGACGACGUAGAUAGGCUGGGUGUGUAAGCGUAGCGAUACGUUGAGCUAACCAGUACUAAUGACCCGAGAGGCUUAACCUUACAACACCGAAGGUGUUU
rnacentral:rRNA from 1 species